UACGUAGGGGGCAAGCGUUGUCCGGAAUUAUUGGGCGUAAAGAGCUCGUAGGUGGUUUGUCGCGUUGUUCGUGAAAACUUGCAGCUUAACUGUGGGCGUGCGGGCGAUACGGGCAGACUGGAGUACUGCAGGGGAGACUGGAAUUCCUGGUGUAGCGGUGAAAUGCGUAGAGAUCGGGAGGAAUACCAGUGGCGAAGGCGGCCUGCUGGGCCACGACCGACACUGAGGUGCGAAAGCGUGGGGAGCGAACCGGG
rnacentral:rRNA from 1 species